rnacentral:tRNA from 1 species
CUGGGGUUGGGGCUCAGUGGUAGAGCGCUUGCCUCUCAUGCAUGAGGCGCUGGGUUUGAUCCUCAGCACCACAUA